AUUGAACGCUGGCGGCAGGCCUAACACAUGCAAGUCGAACGGUAACAGAAAGCAGCUUGCUGCUUUGCUGACGAGUGGCGGACGGGUGAGUAAUGUCUGGGAAACUGCCUGAUGGAGGGGGAUAACUACUGGAAACGGUAGCUAAUACCGCAUAACGUCGCAAGACCAAAGAGGGGGACCUUCGGGCCUCUUGCCAUCGGAUGUGCCCAGAUGGGAUUAGCUAGUAGGUGGGGUAACGGCUCACCUAGGCGACGAUCCCUAGCUGGUCUGAGAGGAUGACCAGCCACACUGGAACGGAGACACGGUCCAGACUCCUACGGGAGGCAGCAGUGGGGAAUAUUGCACAAUGGGCGCAAGCCUGAUGCAGCCAUGCCGCGUGUAUGAAGAAGGCCUUCGGGUUGUAAAGUACUUUCAGCGGGGAGGAAGGGAGUAAAGUUAAUACCUUUGCUCAUUGACGUUACCCGCAGAAGAAGCACCGGCUAACUCCGUG
rnacentral:rRNA from 1 species